rnacentral:rRNA from 1 species
AGUGAACGCUGGCGGCAGGCCUAAUACAUGCAAGUCGAACGGCAGCACAGUGGAGCUUGCUCCAUGGGUGGCGAGUGGCGGACGGGUGAGGAAUACAUGGGAAUCUGCCCAGUCGUGGGGGAUAACGUAGAGAAACUUACGCUAAUACCGCAUGCGCCCUUCGGGGGAAAGCCGGGGACCUUCGGGCCUGGCGCGAUUGGAUGAGCCCAUGUUCGAUUAGCUAGUUGGCGGGGUAAAGGCCCACCAAGGCGACGAUCGAUAGCUGGUCUGAGAGGAUGAUCAGCCACACUGGGACUGAGACACGGCCCAGACUCCUACGGGAGGCAGCAGUAGGGAAUAUUGGACAAUGGGCGCAAGCCUGAUCCAGCCAUGCCGCGUGAGUGAAGAAGGCCCUCGGGUUGUAAAGCUCUUUUGUCCGGGAAGAAAAGCAUCGGGCUAAUACCUCGGUGUUCUGACGGUACCGGAAGAAUAAGCACCGGCUAACUUCGUG